UACGUAGGAGGCAAGCGUUAUCCGGAAUGACUGGGCGUAAAGGGUGCGUAGGUGGUUUGGCAAGUUAGUAGCGUAACCCCGGGGCUCAACCUCGGAACUACUACUAAAACUGUCGGACUUGAGUGCAGGAGGGGCAAUUGGAAUUCCUAGUGUAGCGGUGGAAUGCGUAGAUAUUGCGCAGAACUCCGAUUGCGAAGGCAGCCUACCGGCUUCUGUCUGACGCUGAGGCACGAAAGCGUGGGUAUCGAACAGG
rnacentral:rRNA from 1 species